rnacentral:rRNA from 1 species
UACGUAGGGUGCAAGCGUUGUCCGGAAUCAUUGGGCGUAAAGCGCGCGUAGGUGGCUUCGUAAGUCCGUUGUGAAAGUCAAAGGCUCAACCUUUGAAUGCCGAUGGAUACUGCGAAGCUAGAGUACGGAAGAGGCGAGUGGAAUUCCUGGUGUAGCGGUGGAAAUGCGCAGAUAUCAGGAGGAACACCAAUAGCAAAGGCAGCUCGCUGGGACGUUACUGACACUAAGGCGCGAAAAGCGUGGGGA